rnacentral:rRNA from 1 species
UGGGGAAUUUUGGACAAUGGGCGAAAGCCUGAUCCAGCAAUGCCGCGUGUGUGAAGAAGGCCUUCGGGUUGUAAAGCACUUUUGUCCGGAAAGAAAUCCUUGGCUCUAAUACAGUCGGGGGAUGACGGUACCGGAAGAAUAAGCACCGGCUAACUACGUGCCAGCAGCCGCGGUAAUACGUAGGGUGCAAGCGUUAAUCGGAAUUACUGGGCGUAAAGCGUGCGCAGGCGGUUUGCUAAGACCGAUGUGAAAUCCCCGGGCUCAACCUGGGAACUGCAUUGGUGACUGGCAGGCUAGAGUAUGGCAGAGGGGGGUAGAAUUCCACGUGUAGCAGUGAAAUGCGUAGAGAUGUGGAGGAAUACCGAUGGCGAAGGCAGCCCCCUGGGCAAAUACUGACGCUCAUGCACGAAAGCGUGGGGAGCAAACAGGAUUAGAUACCCUGGGUAGUCCACGCCCUAAAACGAUGUCAACUAGUUGUUGGGGAUUCAUUUCCUUAGUAACGUAGCUAACGCGUGAAGUUGACCGCCUGGGGAGUACGGUCGCAAGAUUAAAACUUAAAUGAAUUGACGGGGUCAUAGCUGUUUCCU